rnacentral:rRNA from 1 species
ACUGCUCAGUAACACGUGGAUAACCUGCCCUUGGGUCCGGCAUAACCCCGGGAAACUGGGGAUAAUUCCGGAUAACGCAUAUGUGCUGGAAUGCUUUAUGCGUCAAAUGGAUUCGUCUGCCCAAGGAUGGGUCUGCGGCCUAUCAGGUAGUAGUGGGUGUAAUGUACCUACUAGUCGACAACGGGUACGGGUUGUGAGAGCAAGAGCCCGGAGAUGGAUUCUGAGACAUGAAUCCAGGCCCUACGGGGCGCAGCAGGCGCGAAAACUUUACAAUGCGGGAAACCGUGAUAAGGGGACACCGAGUGUCAGCAUCAUAUGCUGGCUGUCCAGGUGUGUAAAAUACACCUGUUAGCAAGGGCCGGGCAAGACCGGUGCCAGCCGCCGCGGUAACACCGGCGGCCCGAGUGGUGAUCGUGAUUAUUGGGUCUAAAGGGUCCGUAGCCGGUUUGGUCAGUCCUCCGGGAAAUCUGAUAGCUCAACUAUUAGGCUAUCGGGGGAUACUACCAGACUUGGAACCGGGAGAGGUAAGAGGUACUACAGGGGUAGGAGUGAAAUCUUGUAAUCCCUGUGGGACCACCUGCGGCGAAGGCGUCUUACCAGAACGGGUUCGACGGUGAGGGACGAAAGCUGGGGGCACGAACCGGAUUAGAUACCCGGGUAGUCCCAGCUGUAAACGAUGCUCGCUAGGUGUCAGGCAUGGCGCGACCGUGUCUGGUGCCGCAGGGAAGCCGUGAAGCGAGCCACCUGGGAAGUACGGCCGCAAGGCUGAAACUUAAAGGAAUUGGCGGGGGAGCAC